rnacentral:tRNA from 1 species
GCGCCCGUAGCUCAGGGGAUAGAGCACCAGACUUCGAAUCUGGGUGUCGUAGGUUCGAAUCCUACCGGGCGCG